AUUGUCCUGACCCUGCCACAGCCGGCCGCUAGGAACACUUGGGGGUUAGGAGCUUCCUUUGUUCCUACGCAGGAGACAGAGCCUGUUGACUAGCCCUGAACCAGCCCCCGAGGCCCGAGGAACGUCUGGAGCUGGUCAUCUGAGGCCAUCCCUUGUGUGAUCACUCGCUACAGCAAGGGCAGUCGGGUUACCCUGCUUGGUUGAGACAUGAAAGCAAUCAGGGCCCACCCCUGGAGCCGGAGGUGCACGGAGCCCCUCCAGCCAACCUAGCUGCCACUUCAGGUGGAAAGGAAGAAUGUGGAUGGAGGGGAACCAAACGCACGUCUGUCUCGUUACAACGUGUUGGUCUUUGGUGAGUUUGCCCUCGGAGGAUUGCUUCCCGCUUGGCCUGCUCUGCUCUGUAUUGUCAGCGUGUGCGUGUGCGCAUGCGCGCGCAUGCCCGCAGUGGAGAGGGGCUGGUCCCCGGAGGAUGUGUUUCCCCGUCUCCCAGGGCCGCUGACUUCUCCUGGCCUCAGCCAAUGGGAAGCGUUAUUGAAGAAGCGGAGAGAAGAGGGCAGGGAGAAGCCAGAGUAUUUCUCCCCAUCUCUGUCGGCCUCGGGCAGCUUCUCUGGAAACAGCCGCCUCGCCUGCCAGGCUCCAGCUCCCCCAGACGGGCCCUUCGUCAUCUCAGCUUCCACCUGGUGGCCCCAUCCCUGGGCCCCGAAACCACCACCUUGUGUCCCUCCAGCCUACGGGUGGGGGCUUCCUGCCGUUCCCAGGUUCCAGGGCGCACGCGUCACCACCCUGUUGGGUCUCAGCAGCUCCACCCCUGUGUAAACCACUUCCCUCUGUUCCACUCCACCGUCUCGCUGGACUAAACAAGCCUUGUAAGCCGUCUCCCUACCCCCUGCCCUGGCCUCUUGCUCCAAUCCAUUCUUCACACAGCAGUGUGAAAUGUUCCUGUGCCAAGAAAGUGCCUGGCUCACUGCAGAUCCUUGACGCUGCUGGGGAGUGAAUAAGUGAGGUCUGAGAGGAGGGCAGCGUCAAGGGAUGAAGACGUUGGGUAAGGGUUUGAUUUUGACUUUGAGAGUCAUGGGAGGUGAGUAAGAAAGUAUCUUAACCUGAUUUGGGUACUGUCAGUGUCCUCCAGCCCAAGACCACUGGGAAUACACCUGUGGUUGAACAAGAGGGCUUGACUGCCUCCUUGCAAUGAGGGAGAAGACAUUAUGGGGAACUGUGGGAGCAUCUCAGCUAAAGGGUCUUAGAAGUGCCAGCAUUGGGGCUUAUGUUAGGGGAUUGUGGACAAGAUGCAAGGAGUAGGGUUUGCUCUGAAUUCAAUGUCUUCAGGAAGCAGGGGGAAUGCUGUGACUGAAUUUCUUAAUAAAUCUCAUCUUGAAGGUGGGAGAAAGAGGGAGGCUAAAACUGUGAUUGGUAAAGAAGCAGGAGUAACAUUUUUCAGCUGGGAUGGAAGGCUCGUUGGUCAUUUUUAUGGUUUGGACAUUGUUUAUGUUGUUGUCUCUGUUCACACAUAAUCACAGAGUGGUCUUCUUUUUGUCGUCAUCUAUCAGGGUCACAGAGUGGCCUUGGCUGAUGUUGGAGUUCGAGGCUGUGUUUAUGUUGAACAGAAGAGCACCAAGGCCCAGCUGGGAGUGCCAAGCCAGCUCUCACCUGCCAGGAGCUGCUUUUCCUUGGUGUUAAUAAGACACAGAGUAGAAGCGUGAGUCCAGGCAGAGGGGCAGUGGUCCACGUGAGAGGUGAAGGUGUCUUGCACUAGGUGAGCGUGGAGCUGAGGGGAAAUAACUGGAUUCAGGAUACAUGUGAGGCCACGGCCCGCGCUCAAACCACAUGGAGCUUUCCAGCUCCUGGGAAGGAUGCCGACCACUUGCUCCUCCAGGCCCUUCCUGGAUGGCUCUUUCUCGCCCCUCUUCUCCGGCUCCACCGCCACCCAAGCCCUGUUCCCUGAUGCAGUCCUAUUUAUCUCACUCAAAUGCUACACUCACCAGGAAGUCUUCCCCAAACCUCCCACCCCGAAUCUGGGGUAGCAGUCCCUCCUUUGUGCUUCCGUAAGACCUCGUUGCAUUAUGAUUGUUUACAUAUCUGUACCCCUCCUAGACUGUAAGCUGCAUCCGGGAAGGAGUGAUGUCUUGUUCACUGUGUGUACCCAGGUCUCAUCCCUAAUGGAUGCUUAACGAAUACAUGUGAAAUAAAUCAAUGCUUUACUGAUA